AACGAACGCUGGCGGCAGGCCUAACACAUGCAAGUCGAGCGCGCCCUUCGGGGUUAGCGGCGGACGGGUGAGUAACGCGUGGGAACGUGCCCUUUUCUACGGAAUAGCCCCGGGAAACUGGUGGUAAUACCGUAUACGCCCUUUGGGGGAAAGAUUUAUCGGAAAAGGAUCGGCCCGCGUUGGAUUAGGUAGUUGGUGGGGUAAUGGCCUACCAAGCCGACGAUCCAUAGCUGGUUUGAGAGGAUGAUCAGCCACACUGGGACUGAGACACGGCCCAGACUCCUACGGGAGGCAGCAGUGGGGAAUCUUAGACAAUGGGGGCAAGCCUGAUCCAGCCAUGCCGCGUGAGUGAUGAAGGCCUUAGGGUUGUAAAGCUCUUUCAGCUGGGAAGAUAAUGACGGUACCAGCAGAAGAAGCCCCGGCUAACUCCGUG
rnacentral:rRNA from 1 species